rnacentral:rRNA from 1 species
UACGUAGGGUCCGAGCGUUGUCCGGAUUCAUUGGGCGUAAAGAGCUCGUAGGCGGCUGUUCAAGUCGAACGUGAAAACUCGGAGCUCAACUCCCGAGCCUGCGUUCGAUACUGGACGGCUAGAGUCUGGUAGGGGAUCUGGAAUUCCUGGUGUGAGCGGUGGAAUGCGCAGACUAGUCAGGAGGAACACCGGUGGCGCAAGGCGGGAUCCUGGGCCAGUACUGACGCUGACGAGCGAAAGCGUGGGGAGCAAGCAGG